rnacentral:lncRNA from 1 species
UGGUGGUGGAGAUGGUUUCACGAUUGGUGGUGUAACAACCGGAGGAUUUGGCACGUAGGGUGGUGGUGUUACCACUGGAGGGUUGGGUACAAAAGGUGGUGAAACGACUGGGGGUGUUGGUGCUGGUGGUUUUGGAGUGAAAGGGGGUGAAACAACAGGUGGUUUUGGAAUGACUGGUGGUGAAACAACAGGCGGUGUUGGUGCUGGUGGUUUUGGAGUGAAAGGUGGUGAAACAACAGGUGGUUUUGGAAUGACUGGUGGUGAAACAACCGGUGGUGUUGGUGCUGGUGGUUUUGGAGUGACUGGGGGUGAAACAACAGGUGGUGUUGGUGAUGGUGGUUUAGGCACAUAAGGUGGACUGACAGUGGGAGGUGGAUGUACUACUGGUGGUUUUGGGACAUAUGGAGGUUUUACAUGAG